rnacentral:lncRNA from 1 species
GACCAAUCUGAAAGAAGCUAGUGUUGGAAGAGGGCAAGUCUUAAAGGAUUUAGGAGGAUGCUUAUAAAAUAAGAGAAAGACACAGAGAGCAGGAAGACGGUCUCUCUACAUAGAACGCUACUUCUCUGUAGCUGGAACUAGCAUGCAUCGGACCCUGAGGUUGAUCCCAGUAAGAGGAGGAAGAGGGAAGAGAGAGGAGAGAGAUGGGAAAUGACUCAGAGUGGAGACUAAUGUUCAGGGUAUUUUACCACAGCAACCGAAAAGAAGUUGGAGCACAGCCUUCACUUGGAGUAACAGAGAAGCCAAGGCAGCGUUCAGUUGGUGCAACCGAGUGAAGGUAAGACAUGGCAUGUGGUUGCGGUAGCUGAAACACUGUGUGAAAACAUUCGGGUGCCAUGCAAUUCUUUC